GAAAGGAGGAGCUCGAGAUCGUGCCUGAGAAACCAUGAACGCCCCUCCUCGCUACGAGCGAUUCGUCGUCCCCGAAGGCGUCAAGAAAGUUUCGCAUGAGAGGGACACAAAGAUCGUCAACGCCGCCGCCUUCACCAUCGAGAGGGAAGACCACACAAUCGGAAAUCUUGUCCGCAUGGAGCUGCAUAGAGAUCCCACUGUGCUUUUCGCCGGCUACAAGCUCCCACACCCCCUGCUCUACAAGGUCAUACUUAGGAUCCAGACGACCAGCCAGUCCUCGCCGACACAGGCGUACACUCUGGCCAUUGAGGACCUCGACAAAGAGCUGCUGCAUCUCAAGCGGACCUUUGAGGAUGCAAAAAACAAGUAUGAAGACAAGAUGAGACAGGGUUACUAGGCUGCCUGCAUCUCAGCGAAAUAAA
rnacentral:misc_RNA from 1 species